CCUUCAGGCGGUUUGGGUUGGGAAGAGGAAAGGACAGAGUUGGUGGUUGGCGGAUUAUCAUGGUUACUCUCCAUAGUAACCCUGAAAGGUGAGUCCAUGUUGCCAAAUUGAAGAGGAGCAAUGUCUUGGGAAGCAGAGGAAGAGCAGGUGCAAAGGUGCUUCUGUGAGUGAUAAUGGUCCAGAAAGGUCUGUCCUCCCUUCAACCCCUGGUCACCCUGCCCAGGCCUACCGUAAGGGAGGUCACACUGUGGCCACUGAGGAAUGGCUGGAGAUGCGGAGGGUCCCACAUAUGAGUGUACUGGGGAAGGUGGAAAAAGUAAGUGUUAGGGAGAGCUUCCUGCAUGAGAAAAAUGCACAGGGUAUGGAGGAGCAUUUCUCCUCCCAAGACUUCACUCCAGGGUUCCUGUUGGUACCAAAUGCCACAUGUCAUGUCACUGUCCCCUUGUUCUCAUCCUCUGGGGUAGGUGUCAUCUUUACAUCCCACUUGCCCCUGCAGGAAAUGGGCUCAAGGAGGAGGACUGACUUUCCCAAGGUCACGCAGCUGGGGCUGAGGCUCAGGCAUCCCUCCUCCCUCUCCACCGCUCCCCCUCCUCCUAGGCAGCCUGGCACCCGCUGUCAGCUGCUCUGAAGUGAGUGGCUAUUUUUAUUCUGGUGCGAGGGGAUCUCGGGCAGCAGAGCCAUGUAGGUUAGAAGGCUCUAGGACACCCGGCUUCAGCAUGCAAGGAGAGACUUA